UACGUAGGGUGCAAGCGUUGUCCGGAAUUAUUGGGCGUAAAGAGCUCGUAGGCGGUUUGUUGCGUCGGCUGUGAAAACCCGCGGCUCAACUGCGGGCCUGCAGCCGAUACGGGCAGGCUAGAGUUCGGUAGGGGAGACUGGAAUUCCUGGUGUAGCGGUGAAAUGCGCAGAUAUCAGGAGGAACACCGGUGGCGAAGGCAGCUCGCUGGGACGUGACUGACGCUGAGACGCGAAAGCGUGGGGAGCAAACAGG
rnacentral:rRNA from 1 species